rnacentral:rRNA from 1 species
AUUGAACGCUGGCGGCGGGCCUAACACAUGCAAGUCGAGCGAGCGGCGGACGGGUGAGUACUGUCUGGGAAACUGCCUGAUGGAGGGGGAUAACUACUGGCAACGGUAGCUAAUACCGCAUACCAUCAGAUGUGCACAGAUCGGAUUCGAUAGUAGGUGGGGUACCGGCUCAACUAGGCGACGAUCCCUAGCUGGUCUGAGAGGAUGACCAGCGACACUGGAACUGAGACACGGGCCAGACCCCUACGGGAGGCAGCAGGGGGGAAUAUUGCACAAUGGGCGAAAGCCUGAUGCAGCCAGGCGGCGGGUGUGAAGAAGGCUUUCGGGUUGUAAAGCACUUUCAGCGUGGAGGCGUUACCCGCAGAAGAAGCACCGGCUAACUCCGUGCCAGCAGCCGCGGUAAUAC